rnacentral:rRNA from 1 species
CUUGCUCUUUCCGGAAUUGAGUGGCAAACGGGUGAGUAACACGUAAACAACCUGCCUUCAGGAUGGGGACAACAGACGGAAACGACUGCUAAUACCGAAUAAGUUCCAAGAGCCACAUGGCCCAUGGAAGAAAAGGUGGCCUCUACCUGUAAGCUAUCGCCUGAAGAGGGGUUUGCGUCUGAUUAGCUGGUUGGAGGGGUAACGGCUCACCUAGGCGACGAUACAUAGCCGACCUGAGAGGGUGACCGGCCACAUUGGGACUGAGACACGGCCCAAACUCC